GAUGAACGCUAGCGGCAGGCUUAAUACAUGCAAGUCGAGGGGCAGCAGGACUGUAGCAAUACCGUUGCUGGCGACCGGCAAACGGGUGCGGAACACGUACGCAACCUACCCAAAACUGGGGGAUAGCCCGGGGAAACCCGGAUUAAUACCUCGUAACCUUUUUAAGUGGCAUCACUUGUUAAGUAUAGCUCCGGCGGUUUUGGAUGGGCGUGCGCCUGAUUAGGUAGUUGGUGCGGGUAACGGCCCACCAAGCCUGCGAUCAGUAACUGGUGUGAGAGCACGACCAGUCACACGGGCACUGAGACACGGGCCCGACUCCUACGGGAGGCAGCAGUAAGGAAUAUUGGUCAAUGGACGCAAGUCUGAACCAGCCAUGCCGCGUGAAGGAUGAAGGUCCUCUGGAUUGUAAACUUCUUUUAGGGGGGACGAAACCCGGAUAUUCUUAUCCGAUUGACGGUACCUCAGGAAUAAGCACCGGCUAACUCCGUG
rnacentral:rRNA from 1 species